GCCACACUGGAACUGAGACACGGUCCAGACUCCUACGGGAGGCAGCAGUGGGGAAUAUUGCACAAUGGGCGCAAGCCUGAUGCAGCCAUGCCGCGUGUGUGAAGAAGGCCUUCGGGUUGUAAAGCACUUUCAGCGGGGAGGAAGGCGUUAAGGUUAAUAACCUCAUCGAUUGACGUUACCCGCAGAAGAAGCACCGGCUAACUCCGUGCCAGCAGCCGCGGUAAUACGGAGGGUGCAAGCGUUAAUCGGAAUUACUGGGCGUAAAGCGCACGCAGGCGGUCUGUCAAGUCGGAUGUGAAAUCCCCGGGC
rnacentral:rRNA from 2 species